rnacentral:rRNA from 1 species
CCUACGGGUGGCAGCAGUAGGGAAUAUUGCUCAAUGGGGGAAACCCUGAAGCAGCAACGCCGCGUGGAGGAUGAAGGUUUUCGGGUUGUAAACUCCUUUUGUUAGAGAAGAUAAUGACUGUAUCUAACGAAUAAGCACCGGCCAACUCCGUUCCAGCAGCCGCGGUAAUACGGGGGGUGCAAGCGUUACUCGGAAUCACUGGGCGUAAAGAGGGCGUAGGGGGGAUAGCAGGUCAGAUGUGAAAUCCUAUGGCUUAACCAUAGAACUGCAUUUGAAACUGGUAUUCUAGAGUGUGGGAGAGGUAGGUGGAAUUCUUGGUGUAGGGGUAAAAUGCGUAGAGAUCACGAAGAAUACCGAUUGCGAAGGCGACCUGCUAGAACAUAACUGACGCUGAUGCGCGAAAGCGUGGGGAGCAAACAGGAUUAGAUACCCCUGUAGUC